rnacentral:misc_RNA from 1 species
CUCGAAAGUCGAAAGCGUGCGACGAUCAGGCACGCGAAAUUGUCGUGGGUGUCAAAAUUAAAAAUGGCAUCGGCUAUGGACAUAGAUGACGAGGAGAUUGAUUUACCAACUUCCAGCAGCAGCAAAGGAGAGAAGAAACGUUUCGAAGUGAAAAAGUGGAAUGCUGUUGCUCUAUGGGCCUGGGAUAUCGUGGUCGACAACUGUGCAAUUUGUCGAAAUCACAUCAUGGAUUUGUGCAUCGAAUGUCAGGCUAACCAAGCUUCCGCCACUAGCGAAGAAUGCACAGUCGCCUGGGGGGUGUGUAACCAUGCAUUCCAUUUCCAUUGCAUCUCUCGUUGGUUGAAGACUCGCCAGGUGUGCCCGUUGGACAAUCGUGAAUGGGAAUUUCAAAAGUAUGGCCACUAACCGGAUGCUCACAGCUGACGCGAAGAACAGAACCCUCAAGAACUACGCGACCGACCCUGGUGUAAUGAAAAAACAAUUUCUACAAAAUUAUCAAAAUCUGUUACGACUGCUUUCACGUCUCUUCUGAAAAAAAAGAAAAAUAUUAUAAUAAUGCAGUUAUUUCAUUUCUUUGAUGGACCGCUCUUACGUCAUGCCUUAGCUGAAGUAUUGCCAUUCUCGACGAAGUUAUUCAAGUUAUUUGCUCUUCAUACAAAUACGUAACGAUCGUGUUUCCAGAUUUAAAGUCGUCGUGUCGCUAUUUUGUAAUUAAUAUAGGUAUCAAAACUUGAAUAAAUUUAAAUGACAAAUCGUAAGUAUACACAUUCAGACUUAUCUUAUAGCUGAAAUUAACAUGAACGUAUAUUAAUGCAAGCAUUUCCCUCGUGUAAUUUAAAAAGUUCAUUGUAAGCUGUGUAGCUAAACUGCUCGAGGCUUUAGUUGUGAGGUGUAUAGACUUGGAAAAUUUACUCAAAUACUUUUUUUCCUUCUGUUUCCUGGUAGCAAAACUGGCCGUAAAAUUAUUCACUAUUCAUAAUAAAAAUGGAGUUUCAGUCGGGUAGUAAUCACCCAAGGGAACAAUCGAUUUUUAUUCUUGUGUUACAUAUAGGACUUUAUUUCCGACUCAACUCUGGCCGCAAUAUUUAUUUGGAAAUUGUGACGUUUAAAUCAGGCUAAUAUUUUCCGUAAAUGCGUUUUAGGGAAAAAUAUGCCACUUUCGUCCCGCUUUUGAGGUAAAAAAAGUUGACUUAAUGGUUGAUUCGGGAAGAAAAUACGUUAUACAUUAUAUAUAUACAUACAGUGAAAUAUGAAUACAAAUUAGGACUAUCUAUCAUUGGAUGACCAUGCAUAUCAUCUUGUAUCAUUAUCUAUUGAUCUACAUUUACAUAUAUCGGAACACCCUAUGUUUGUGUUUUUCGACGUAUUUAUAUUUACACAUGGGAGUUAAUUCAGAUAGCGGCAAUAGAAAUUUGAAAAUAAUCGUUCGUUCACAAUGCUGUGUUAUACCAAUUAAUAGGUUUUUGAUAGAGCACGUACAAUAGACUUCUGCCAAAUGUCAAUCAUAUAAAAUUAUUUUAGCUACAUAGGUCUUUAAAUAUUGUUUUAUUCUUACGUCAUAGUUUCUUGUGAUUUUAUCUUAUAUUAAAGACCCUUUUUUUUAACGUAUCAAAAUUGAUUACUGUUUUUCUUUUUUUCUCGUUUCUUUCUUUUUUUUUCUUGUGAAACUUGACGUGCAAUUCCAUACGUAUUUAUGGAUAAGGCGAAAUAAGUAUGAUAAUAUGAUGUAGGGAGAAGGGGGUGAAGCAAUGAAUAACAUAAAAAGUUAGGGUCUAACAUUUAUGUUCGUAUUUUACUUGGCAUGCGGCAGUCUUCUAGCAGCUUUGUAUUAUAACAAUUGAAUAUACAUAUAUAUUCGAUUAAAAGUAUAAUAAUAAUAAUAGUAAACAAUACUGUAAAUUAAAUUAUAGAUUUAAAUAUUAUACUGGUAUGAAGUAGGUUUGUUCUGGGAGUGUGUUCUUGUGACCUCUCUCUCUCAAAAAAAAAAGAUAAAAAUUUGUGAUAUAUAACCGUUCUUUAUUUCAGUCUGAUGAUGUUAUACAAAUAAUAAUAAUAAUAAUGGCCCAUUUUGCCAGGGUCUCAAAAAAUAGUUAUAU